rnacentral:rRNA from 1 species
GAGUGAGAAUGCCGGAAUGAGUAGCGAGAAUUAUGUGGGAAUCAUAAUGGCCGAAAAUCUAAGGUUUCUUGGGGAAGGUUCGUCCGCCCAAGGUAAGUCGGGAGCUAAGCUCAGGCCGAGAGGCGUAGGCGAUGCACAUACGGUAGAAAUUCCGUAACCACCGAAACUUAAACAGAGGGACACUUCGAAAUAGCGGAACCCGGGCGUUGGUUGACCCGGGCGAAAGGGAGCGAAAUUAGAGUAGCGAAGUCCGCGAUGUUCGGAGGCGAGAAAAGCUCUGAGGUAUGCUAAGGUGCCCGUACCGCAAACCGACACAGGUAGAUGAGGAGAGAAUCCUAAGGCCAACGGGAGAAGGGUUGUUAAGGAACUCGGCAAAUUGACCCCGUAACUUCGGAAGAAGGGGAGCCCCCUACGGGGGGUCGCAGAGAAAUGGCCCAAGCAACUGUUUACCAAAAACACAGGUCUAUGCUAAAUCGAAAGAUGACGUAUAUGGGCUGACGCCUGCCCGGUGCCGGAAGGUUAAGAGGAGAUGUCAGGCAACGAAGCAUUGAAUUUAAGCCCCGGUAAACGGCGGCCGUAACUAUAACGGUCCUAAGGUAGCGAAAUUCCUUGUCAGGUAAGUUCUGACCCGCACGAAUGGCGUAAUGAUUUGGGCACUGUCUCAACAGCCCGCCCGGCGAAAUUGUAGUACCGGUGAAGAUGCCGGUUACCCGCAACUAGACGGAAAGACCCCAUGGAGCUUUACUGCAGCUUAAUACUGAAAUUCGGUAGUACAUGUACAGGAUAGGUGGGAGACUGAGAAAUACAGGCGUCAGCUUGUAUGGAGUCGCUGUUGGGAUACCACUCUUGUACUGCUGGGUUUCUAACCUGCGGCCGUGAAUCCGGUCGGGGGACACUGUUAGGCGGGCAGUUUGACUGGGGCGGUCGCCUCCAAAAGAGUAACGGAGGCGCUCAAAGGUUCGCUCAGCAUGGACGGAAACCAUGCCAAAGAGUGCAAACGCAAAAGCGAGCCUAACUGCGAGACUGACGGGUCGAGCAGUAACGAAAGUUGGAGUUAG